AGAGUUUGAUCAUGGCUCAGAUUGAACGCUGGCGGCAUGCCUUACACAUGCAAGUCGAACGGCAGCGCGGGGGCAACCCUGGCGGCGAGUGGCGAACGGGUGAGUAAUACAUCGGAACGUGUCCUGGAGUGGGGGAUAGCCCGGCGAAAGCCGGAUUAAUACCGCAUACGCUCUACGGAGGAAAGCGGGGGACCGAAAGGCCUCGCGCUCAAGGAGCGGCCGAUGGCGGAUUAGCUAGUUGGUGGGGUAAAGGCCCACCAAGGCGACGAUCCGUAGCUGGUCUGAGAGGACGACCAGCCACACUGGGACUGAGACACGGCCCAGACUCCUACGGGAGGCAGCAGUGGGGAAUUUUGGACAAUGGGCGAAAGCCUGAUCCAGCAAUGCCGCGUGUGUGAAGAAGGCCUUCGGGUUGUAAAGCACUUUUGUCCGGAAAGAAAACUUCGCCUCUAAUACAGGUGGAGGAUGACGGUACCGGAAGAAUAAGCACCGGCUAACUACGUGCCAGCAGCCGCGGUAAUACGUAGGGUGCAAGCGUUAAUCGGAAUUACUGGGCGUAAAGCGUGCGCAGGCGGUGAUGUAAGACCGAUGUGAAAUCCCCGGGCUUAACCUGGGAACUGCAUUGGUGACUGCAUUGCUAGAGUAUGGCAGAGGGGGGUGGAAUUCCACGUAGCAGUGAAAUGCGUAGAGAUGUGGAGGAACACCGAUGGCGAAGGCAGCCCCCUGGGCCAAUACUGACGCUCAUGCACGAAAGCGUGGGGAGCAAACAGGAUUAGAUACCCUAGUAGUCC
rnacentral:rRNA from 1 species